GUUGGUGGUGAGAGAGCUAAGAACAAAGCAAUUUGCUGCAGCCACAUACUGGGGCAGGAGCUUUUUAAGGGAUCCAUGAUGAGUACAACAUGCUAUCCUGGUUUCUACAGGCUCCAGAGCUCAUUUGUGAGGCUGCUAUUUGGAAGCUAAGUGACAACACAGUUAAAUGUAAUUGAUCCAAAAUGUCCAUUAUAAGUAACAAUUGUCUCUAAUGUGUGAA